GAUGAACGCUGGCGGCGUGCCUAAUACAUGCAAGUAGAACGCUGAAGCUUGGUGCUUGCACCGAGCGGAUGAGUUGCGAACGGGUGAGUAACGCGUAGGUAACCUGCCUCUUGGCGGGGGAUAACUAUUGGAAACGAUAGCUAAUACCGCAUAAAAGUCGAUAUCGCAUGAUGUUGAUUUGAAAGGUGCAAUUGCAUCACUAAGAGAUGGACCUGCGUUGUAUUAGCUAGUUGGUGAGGUAACGGCUCACCAAGGCGACGAUACAUAGCCGACCUGAGAGGGUGAUCGGCCACACUGGGACUGAGACACGGCCCAGACUCCUACGGGAGGCAGCAGUAGGGAAUCUUCGGCAAUGGGGGCAACCCUGACCGAGCAACGCCGCGUGAGUGAAGAAGGUUUUCGGAUCGUAAAGCUCUGUUGUAAGAGAAGAACGAGUGUGAGAGUGGAAAGUUCACACUGUGACGGAACUACCAGAAAGGACG
rnacentral:rRNA from 1 species